UACGUAGGGUGCAAGCGUUGUCCGGAAUCACUGGGCGUAAAGGGCGCGUAGGCGGGAUGGCAAGUCGGCCGUGAAAACCUGCAGCUUAACUGUGGGCGUGCGGUCGAUACGGGCAUCACUGGAGUUCGGCAGGGGAGACUGGAAUUCCUGGUGUAGCGGUGAAAUGCGCAGAUAUCAGGAGGAACACCGGUGGCGAAGGCGGGUCUCUGGGCCGAUACUGACGCUGAGGAGCGAAAGCGUGGGGAGCAAACAGG
rnacentral:rRNA from 1 species